UACGUAGGGGGCGAGCGUUGUCCGGAAUCAUUGGGCGUAAAGAGCGUGUAGGCGGACUGGAAGGUCUGGUGUGAAAGCCCGGGGGCUCAACCCCGGAGGGUCACUGGAAACCAACAGUCUUGAGUCCGGAAGAGGCGAGUGGAAUUCCUGGUGUAGCGGUGGAAUGCGCAGAUAUCAGGAGGAACACCAAUAGCGAAGGCAGCUCGCUGGGACGGUACUGACGCUAAGGCGCGAAAGCGUGGGGAGCGAACAGG
rnacentral:rRNA from 1 species